CAUAAACUUCCUGGGAAUGACUAUUACAUCCCUCUUUUCUUGAAGGAAGCAUUUCUAUUGCAUUUAUACUCUUCAGGAGCCCAUGUCUUCGCCACCUUAGUCAUCUUCCCAGCCUUUGGAUGAAGCAUCUGAAUCCCCAACAUUACUUCUGGAGCCAUUUAAAAAACAGACUUCCUAAAAGCCACUGCUGGAUGAUGGUGACUGAUGCUGAAAGUUGUUCUCAAAUGGGAGAUAAUCAGAUCCGAAGAGUAUUUACAGCCCAGAUACCUGAUGUAUUACUUCAUCAGCAAAUUCAACAAGGCCAAGAUGUCUUCAUUUUCCUUCAGAGCAAGAGCUGUAAGAGCAGUGUGAGGGAAGCAUUGGUCUUCUGUGGCCAGCCGGCGAGAACCCAUCAACAGCUGUGA
rnacentral:lncRNA from 1 species